CAAGGUUAUGUAUCAUUUUCUUUGUGCACAUUUUCUCUACUAAGAUGCUGAGAUCACUGCAUAAAGUAAAGCUGGAGCAGAAACAUCUGUAAGCCAUGACUGCACCUGCCUACGUGAUGCUGAGAUGGGGUCCUCCAGCCAGCUCAGGCCUUUCCUGGUCUUUUUUCUAUGUUCUGCUGAAUCCUGAUCAACCCGAAUGCUGCCUGUUGGCACUGGGAUAGGGAGAGCCACCCAUGCAGACCCAGAUGCUGUAGCCUCACUUUUCUAAGACGGCACUCGACUGGGCAGUGAAGCACGGCAAUCUUGAGAUGGCAGAGAUGGUCGCCAAAGCAGGCGUCGAUGUCAAUGCUAAAUCGCCUGAGCUGAAGCUGGAAUAUCACACCUAUAUUUCUCUGUAUCAUAAUUCAGUAAGUUAAUAAAAGGCAUGGGGGACUGGCGCUGUUUACACACAUGCCUGCAUUUGGAUAGAGUGGAUAUGCAGAAAGACAUAAAACAGGAAACCAAUCCUAGCACAGCCCCGUGUUCCUUUGUACCUCCUCUUGUUCAGCUCCUCAAGGCCCAGCCUGCAGCAGAGGAGCCGGCCCUUGGCCUUUCAGCACAUGUGGCCCCUGCAGCCUGUGUCCCGUUGACUCCCCAGCGACCCAACAGCCCACAGCAAUCCAACACCCUGUGCUCCCAAUCCUUUCCAUUCCACUGUGCAGCCAUAAGCAAGCCACUGCCAGGCACCUUCAUGGCCACAUGGUGUGGCUCUGCACCGGCACAGCCCCCUCCAUUUCCCAUGGAAGGUGAGUUUCUAACUGUGUUUGUGCUUUAGACGAGCCCUGUAAGGAAACAUAUGCAACCUUCCCCCAGUCUGAGGGCUAACAAGUUUGGAGGCCAGGCCUACAUGCUGUGAGUCCCUGGGCUGGGUGCGUUGUUUAAGGGCUUGUUCUCAGCAGUGACCCCGCAGGAAGGGCUGCUGGUGCUUGGGCUGCUCCCCGAGGCACAACCCAGCACAGGUCUGCCCAGAACAAUGCAAAGGCCACAGGUGUCCCGCAGGAAGGCUGUGGCAGAAAAGAAAAUACAGCGCCAAAGCCCUGAAGCUCUGGAAUGUGGCUGCCAUGCCUGUGCUCCCAUAUGUGCUCCGGCUGCUGGACUGCCUGUGUGCUUCAGGUGCGGCCCUGGCUGGCCGCUACCGUAUCCAGAGCUCAGUUGAAGGUUCUACCCAACAGCCCAGCAUCACGGGAAUUGCUCCCACGGCAAUCCCAUGGCGUGGUUUCUGGACAUGCCCACUCCAGGUUUGUCCUGUUUGUUUUGUUGCUUUUUAUGCAGUUUACCUUUAAGAAAAUAAUAGUUUCAGUAAAUGAAUUAAGUGGUAAUAAGGCACAUUACUGCUGUUAAUUCCUCCAGUUUACGCUGCUGUAUCUUCAAGAGAAUUAGACUGAUUUAAAUUUGACAUGAUGCAGUAAUCGGGCUGAGAUUGCUUGUAGUUACAUGAAGCUGAGCCCAUCUUUAUCAGCUCAGUUUCUGAAAAAAAAAUCCCCUAAGCAGCUCAGAAUAUUUGUUUGUGAUCAGAGCGUUGUGCCCUUCAGCCUGCAGUGCCUGUCGUCUGACACGAACAGAAGCAGAGACCUGGUGCUUGUAGUUCACCAAAGUGGCUAUUUCCUUAUAACCUUCCUCUUGUAACAAUGUUUAUUCAGUUAUCAGGGAAGAAAUAUCAUUUGUCCGUGCAGCUACAAUUACCCAAUUUGUUGUAUAAAUUAUUACUUUUUUUCUCAUCUCAUGUUGAUGACAGAAUCAUUUAAUAGACUUUCAGUUGCUCAAGCUUGAAAAUUGGUUCCACAUUCCCCUUUUUUUAGUUUUCCUCCCUAGGGUGAGUGCAACGUGGCCUAAAUGCCAUUCCCAGCCCCCCCUCCCCCUUCUUUUUUUUAAACAUCUGCUUGUAUGAGGAUGUUGUUGUGUACAUUAGCGCUGUGCAGUUUAGCACCUUUAGGACUACCUUUGGCUCUCAGCUUCCUUGCUUCCUGGGCCAACCAUAAUAUAUCAGGAACCGUGGAUAUUUCCUAUCUCAGCACUCUCCAUAACUCUUUUGCUCAGCUGUCUGAAGCUGUUUUCUUUAGGAAGUCCAAAGUGAGGGGGCCUGCUUGACCUGGCAUCGGUCCUAUUUAUAAGAAUAAACCUUCUUCCCCGUACACCUUUGGAGAUUUGUCGUGUAGGGGUCACAUCCGUUUAAAUGAACAGCAAUUGCGCCUGUGACGGAACACGGCCACGUAACCUUUAUUGUCCCGUCCUACCCUUUUGUUUGAAGUUAUUAAACGUACUCAGCUGAUUUUCUUCAAAGCUAAGGCUACAGGAUCUGCAGCCGUGUCUCUGCCACAUAAUUAAUUAGGAAGGAAAAAAACAGCUAUUGUGCACGCUGUAUUUUUGCAAGAUGUUUGUUUGUUUCCUUAAAGCCAGCAUUAUGCUUUUUUGCUUUUAAAUUGUUGCUCUCCUGCUCUCACCACUGAAAUAAAUGCCAGUCGGGCUCAUUUGCUUAGCACAGGAGUUCCCGUGUGGCAGAGGGAAGGGGCAAUGCACGGAGCAGUCAUCUCCAGCCCACAGUCUGAGGCUUUGGCUCAGAAGCAGUGCCACCUCCACCUCUGUGGCACUGAGAUGUCACACUUCGGAUCUGCCCACUCACAAGUCAGCCCGGGUGCCUGUGCGGCGUAUUUAUUUUCUCCUUGUUUAUUUUUAAGUCUAAGAAUAUUUGCUGAAAGCAGGAUUAUCACUUUGUAGACCACCAGCAGCUGUUGAAAAGCAGGGCAUAAAAGUUUGUUUAUGUCUUUAAUAACCCUCUUAAUGACGGAGCAAGCACAUUAUUCACAAUAAAAUAGCCUGGCAUAAUCUUGCUUCAGUGUGCGGUGGGAGGGAAUUAAGAAACAUCUGCUCUGCCAUAAAAUAACAUAAUAUAUACCAUUUACAUUAGAAACAUGUGUCUACACAUAUGUAUAUUAUAUACAUAUAUUUAGAACGUCUCAGUGGAACUCGUCUUUUUAAUUACAUUUGGAGAACAACAAAAUGGUUAAAUGAUGAUAUUUUUAUUUCUGCAUCUCAGCUUUAUGCAGUGUCUGUGGGUACGGCUGGUUACAGUGACAAGGGACAGAGCGUCAGAGUACACCUGAAGAUAUACGAGGGCAGAUUUUCAAGCACUGAAAUUGGGGUUCAGUUUCUGUUUUUAGCCUCCAAAUGACUGACCUGAUUUUCUGAAGUACAAAGCGUUCAUGGGCUCUUGACUUUAUGAGCAUUGGUUGCUCAGCAACUCUAACAAAUCAAGCCACUAUUUCAGUGCCUAAAUGCAGAUUUUAUUUACAACAACAGCAUCUGAAUCCACAGCUUUCCUCAGUGUCAAUUAUUUGUAUUACUCCUGUGCUGAGCACGAGAGCUCACCGUGCUGGUGCUGCACUCAGCAGGAGGGUGGCUGCCUCUGCCCUGACAAACCUGGGGCAAAAAGGGACAAAAUCGGGAUCCUGAAGCCAGCAGGGCAGCGCUCCGCCCUGGCAGUGGCCGUGCCUUGUGGCUGCCAACCAGCACGGCAUGUAAACAUGUCUUUAAAUUUCGGCGUGUGAGAUGUAAGUGGAACUACUUGCAUCUUAAAAUUAAAUACAUGUUUCACUAGAUCAGGCCAGAUGGUUUUACAUGCUCAAAAGUGACAUUUACAAGGUCACAUAGGAAGUGUUUGACAGAGCCAGGAACUGAAACCAGAUCUCCCAAGUGCCAACCCAGUGCCUUAAUUUUGCUCACAUCCAUUUUUCCUUCCCGCUGGCAUGUUUCUCAGUGCAAACAAGGAAAAAAUGAAUCCAGUAAGUAGACAAUUAAGUUGUUGUUUUUAUUUAGAGGCGCUGGGAACGCAAAUGCCACUGUUUGAAAGAUCAGUACUUUCAUUUUUUCAGUGAGGCAUAUGUUUUCAUGGACUUUUUUUUUUUUAAUUUUGCCUGUUCUAUCUUACAAGAAUGCAAGAGAUCUGUUUUCAUUUUGUAGGUGGCCCACCAAAUAGAAGCUAUAAGUUAAUAAAAUUUCUAUGCAGAUUUAUGUGAACUGGAUGAACUCUCCCAGUAUCUGAAUGUUAAUCUGUUGGAAAAUAGCUGCCGUGGUACUGGAACAGCUCAACAUCAUACAGCAGGGCACACUCACAGCAGCACUCCGCUGACAUUUUCCCUACAAAUGCCAAAGUAAACAUGAGAGACUACUGUGGGGGAAAACCAGUGAACUACUGGAAAGGCAACUGUGGUGAAUUUAAGGCAGUUGCCUUAGAUUCACCUAAAUCUCUGCUUCUAUUAAUGUGUGUAUUUUCCUUGGUAGACAUAUCCAUGUAAAUUUUCUUGGAUACAUUUGAUUUAGCCUGCCUCACUUUGCCUCUAUUCUUGGCAUGGACUUAGCUCUUUGCAGGCUCCCAUUCUGCCUUAGUUUUUAAUGUCUUCAACCUCCCUGUCCUGUUCCAACUGAAAUCCAGACCAUGAGAGAGCACCCCAGGGAAAAUGCUGGAUCCUCCAAGCAUGAAAAGGAGGGGAGCAACAGCCUCGCAUUCUCACAGGACCCUCCUACUGCACCCACAAACUGUAUAAAGGUAAAAUGAGUAGGGGUGGGGGUAGGGUUUGCAUAGUGACCUCUCAUCUUGACUGGCCAGCCUAUAUUUCGCCAGGUCUAGCGUAUAAAGGACUUGCGAGGAUGGAGUUUGUGCAUCUGUGACCGGAUUACAAAAACCCUCAGAAAUUGCUGUAAUUUAAGACACAUUUAAAAGUGUACUCUGGAUGGCAAGGAUGGCACUUGGGGAUUGAGGACAGUAAUCUCUGACAGUGGGCCAGUAAUGAAUACUGAGAUAUCUUGGGCUCUCCCUCAGCUGCCCCACUGCUGUGCCAACCCAAUGGCAUGAACUUUAAGGAUCUUUGCAAAAAGCUCGUGUGCUAAACAGCAUAGCACAGCUGACAUUCAAGGAGCACUUAACAUCAACCUAUUGCUCAGGACCAUACCAGUACCUACACAGUCUUGUGCCAGAAUCUAUUGUAUAAGGAUCAGACCAAGCAUCUUGUUUAGGAAGGACAUAUUUCCUUCUCCACCAGAAGGCACUUAGGAAAGAGAUCACAAAAGAAAAUCUCCAUACCACUGCCUCCACAGCUCAGCUUCCUGGCUUUGACUUCAGCAGCUCUCAUUAACUGAGCCAGAGUCAGUAUCUUGCUUUGGCUUUUGUACUCCUUGAUGGAUUUUUAUUUUAUUUCAACCAUUACUUUUCAUCAUCACUUUUUAAGGCCAUAGACAAUUUUUAUAUCCACAACAUCCUGGGGCAUUGAGUUCCACAGUUUAACUAUGUGUUGUGUGGAUGCACACUAUGAGUUCUUAAGUCCUUGUUCCUAACAGUUUUUUCCAUCAUCUUACAAACUUCAGUUGCAUCCACUUGUCACACUCUGCACUUUCCUCAGGCUAUAAAAUCAUCCUGUAUUUAGGUGCUUCUCAGAAACAGUCCUGUAUCUUUAAAGCAUACCAAAUCUUGAUUGAGAAACUGAUGAAAAAUUAUAUUAUUUUGGGCUUAAUUGCUCACACACUGCCACCUUUGAUGAUGCACAGAAAUAGCUCGAGAAGUACCAUUAAAAGCAGAAAUCCAAAGAACAGAAUCAACUCCAAUUUCCUACACAAAGUAAGGGAUUUGGAUCAAGACAAAGUCAUCAGCAUCUGCCCAGGUUCCCCAGGUGGCUUUGGGGAACCCAUCCCUUCCCUUCUCUUCCGGGGAGUCUGCUCUUCCCAUCUGGGAGACUGAGUUGAAGACACUAAGUAUUGGUUAGAGGAAUUCUUAGGUAUAAAAUCAAUGUCUAAAUUUGUCUAACAAGAGUUUGAACUGCAAGCUUUAACAAUAUUAAUACACUUAAUUUUAUCUAGUCCUAGCCAGCUCAUUUACUGGGAGAUUUCUUGGUUUGUGUGAACUGAUUCUGGAGAACUGGAAAGCAAAGACCCACAUAGCACCCAUCACAGCUUAUUACAGGGGGUAAACAGUCAGUGUUAUUAGUAGAUGAGGAAAGGUAGAUCAAUAUAAAGAAAUACUGCUCUCAUUCACUAUUCCCUUUGUCACUGCCAGGCCUCAGAAUUUUUCAGUUCAUUGAUGUCAGUAAGGAUUUACUCGCCUGCCCAAGAAGCUGGUGCCUGAUUAUUCCCAGGCUGCAGCAGAUCCUGAUCAGCAUGUAAGCUGGCCUGGGCAGCUGCGUAAGAAAACAAAAUUUUAAGAUCACAGCAACUUAAAAUACUGCUUGAGUUUAUAACGUCAACAUUGGUAUCAGGGAACAUGGCAACAAAAGUGACCAAAAAGCAUCUCUUUUCGCUGUAGUGCUUAGCAAAUACAUCAGGUUGGUUAGACAGAGGGCAUGUAACGUUUUCAUUAGCUGAAUGAGCACCUAGCUCAAGCCAAAUCUGAAGGCUUUUGGAAACACUUUAUUCACAGGGAGCAGCUCAGGAGUUAAACUAUGUUUAGCAUAUUCCCUUCCCUACAUUAUUUCACGUGCAGAGCCGCUUCCUCUCUGACAGCAUCAGGAGCCUAUCCUUACAUACCCUAAUGGUCUCAUGCCUUCAGCAAGCUGUGGCUUAUACCCGCAUACCUCCUCAUUGCUGUUAUCACCAAUGGUUUCUUCACUGGAAAUAAUCAUGCACAUUACAACUGUUGCCAAAACCCUCUGGCAUCAGAAGCACUCUCGGAAGGAAAGCCUGAAGGCAUGCAAGGGCCUGAACAGGGUAGCUGCAGUGAGGCAGGUCAGCAGUACUACAUGGGAACCCAUGCAAGAGAAAAGCUGCACGCUGCCUUCAUGUUUAACACCAGCCAGAGUUAGGGGUCUGAUUCUGCUGGGCUUUCAGAAUGAAACACAAAUGCUGGCCUGUGCAAAUUCCUCUGUUCAUGGUUUCAUGUCCAUGUGCUCACACCAACAAUCCAUCAUGAGGUCCCAUCGCUGCAUCUGCGUGCCUUUGUGGAGACUGCAAAGGUUUUGCAUGAGUUCAAAUAUGAAAAGAAAAGUCAUUUUUCACACAUUCUGAUUUCAAAUAUGACUGUAAAUGUUCUAAGCCUCUUUUUAUGUUUAAACAUUUUUAGUGAGUUAAAAGCCAAACAAACUAUAUCUGUUACAUUUCUGCAGUUAGACCAUGUAACUUGAUUGCUUGACAAAGCAUAAGCGGUAUGAGGUCCUUUAUGGGCCACAGCUGAGCUGGAUUUUAUGCCUAAGAAUUUCCCCAUUUUGGACCAGAAGUAAAAAAAAAAAUUCUUCUGGGCAGCACCCAUGAGCCCAAGUCUGGAAAGAAGAAGUGAAAUGAGGGCAGAAAGCCCCCAAAAGAGCCUGGCUGUCCCUUCAGACAGAGCAGAAGGAAAGUAAAAUCACACCUCUGUUCUUUGGGUGUGGGGUCACCCAUCCCACCCCAGGAGCAGGGCGAAGUACCGAGACUCCCAGCAGCAGCCAGGGAGGUGUUGAGAAGCCCAUCCGAGGGGACCUGGGGAUAGUGCUUGUCCCAACGGGGAUUGGAGCAGAGGGACUUCACAGAAGACAGCCCCCAAAAUGCUCUGCAGCCCCCAGAUGCCAUGGUGCUGUGGAUGGGUGAGGGAAUUGUUGGCUUGCCACCGCCUGCUCGCUGUGUGGUCCUGCCCAGGGAGACAUCUCAGUGGCUGCCAGGAAUGAGGAAAACUGGCAUGUUUUUGUUUUGUUUCCUUUUAAAUAAACUUGCCGUCCUUAAUCUGGCAGGCUGGAGCCCAGGCUCGACAGGCCAAUGAGUAAUGAGGUGCGAGGGAAGACAGGAUGUGGAAUUAGGAGGUCAGGGCUGAAGGUUGCCCCAAAUUUAAUCUCUACUUCUCCUUCUCCAUGUGCCACUGCUGACCACGGUGUAGACGCACACUCACCAGCGAUGCCCUACAGCCCCAUAUACCAGCAAGGCCAAUGCAGGAGGAGUUCGGGAGCCAGGACUCCCCUCCCUGCCCGCCCUCAUAGGCCUGUGCCCGCAGCAAAGCCUUCCCUGCCUUCCAGAUGCAGUGGUUCAGAAGCUCAGGGGAAGUCAAGUUCACCCCGUGGCUCUGGUGACACUCAGUGUUACCUCACUGAGCUCAUCACCUCUUGGGUACCUACCAGCAAACAUUAAUUUCCUUCCAGUACCCUUGCCAACCUUUCAGCCUAGCUUCAGCUGGACUUCAGCAUGAGAAAACCAGACUUAUUACCACAUGCUAAAGGCAAUAAAUAAUUUUUUUCCUGCUGCAUGCAUUAUUGGCAGAGUUUGUGACCACGGCUGAAUUACAGCCAUGCAUGCGCUCCACAUGCAUUUAUUCAUCAUCUAAAUUAUUUUUGGCAGCAAAUAAGAGAGUGUGCUGAUUAAAAUUUAAGAGUUAUCUCAACGAGCUAAGGAUUCCUUCACCAGCUCACCUUGGCUCAGGUGUCCCUCCAGCCACCAACUGUUUUUAACAUGCAUCAAGGAGCAGAGCGUGGCCAGCAAACGCAGGCAAAUGGGGACUGCUGGUGUCCUGUGCUGUCCCCCAAGGGUGGCCAGAAAGAAGGCAUCAGCAUUGGUGGCACCAGGAGGAAGUACCUCCAGCUGUUCAGUGAGGUUUUGUGCUAGUGCAGGGCGGCGAAGUCAGUACUUCAGCAAUGCUUAUAUCCCUUUGGCUCAGUACCACUUGAACUUAACCACAUGUUUAAGAGCAUUUUAGGACAGAAGUGCUUUCGUGGUCCAUAGCUGUGAGAGCAGCGAGAACAACUCUGCCUUUUCAGGUGGGCAGUUGGAAAGCAGACUGAAGUGCUUGGAAGGCAAACAAGAGCAGCUUUGCAUUUUUAAAGCAGUGCUUUGAAAGAGGGGCAAGUGUAAAAGUUUAAUUAUAGGUUUUCCUUGACAGGGAAACAACUCUAGUCGGUGUGUGCAUGUGUGCUGUCAAACAGCACAAUCCUAGCAAAUCUAGAAAAGAGCAAAACAAGAAAAGAAGAAGACCAGAAGUUCACAGUGGCUCACGCUCAGUUCUGCUCUGACAAAAUAUUUUCCACUGUUUAAUAUAACGCCUCGUGUAUAUUGAUGCCUAUUGAUUUUUCAAUCUGGCGCUUUAAUUAGGCUCUAGUUGUUCAACCUUGCACCUUUGCUGCAUUAGAGAGUGAAAACAGACGGUAUUUCUUCUCUAGGAGCCUUGGACAGCGAAGCAGAGCAAGGUUGGAGGAAAAGCCUGCAGAAUAUUGACGGGGAAUCUAAAUAUCUCAAAGAUGUUCUGUUCAAAACCUGUAAGGACUCAUGAGAUAUUUGUGUAAUCCAGCCGAGUUUUCUAGCACAGAAUUCAGCAGUUGUUAAUCUGGCGCAUGGCAAGCUGCACAUCUCCUAACCUCUGAGCUCAGCAAGCGAUCUUAUCAAAAGGACAAAGUGAGAGAAGUACACUUUUGUUUUACAAUUAUUUCCUUUUCAAGACCCAAUUCUUUCCACUCCCUUCCGUGGGAAGACACGUGUGUCAGAUUGCCACCACCGCUGCCAUUCACUGACAUGCUGACCCCGCGGCAGGCGCUGCCCUCAGAGCCCUGUGCCAUAGGCAGGAUCGGGCCCUGCACACGCGGCUGGGAGGGGAGCUGUAAAAAAUGCAUGGGCCCUUCUGCUGCGAAUGAGGCUGCUCAGCUGAAAGGAACUGGGAGGUGAAAAAUGGAAUUUGGCAGUUCUGUGCCGCUCCACCAUUUGGUGCUUGUUGUGGGACUCCAGCAAAAGGGAGCUAUCACUGCGGGCAUAAUUUACUUGAUUUUAAGGAUCUGUAUGAAUUCUGGCACCAGACCAAGUAGCCAUUAGCUAUGAGGAGUGCUUCCCGAUGCUCAUUUGUUUUCCAUGUGUGAAUUUUCACUCAUCCGAACUUUCUUUAGAAAAAAUUUUUCUUCAUCAAUUCCAUGUGGAAAAUGCAACAGAAACCCAGAUAAUAAAUUAUUCAAGAAACACAACAGUUUUUGUUUUUUUAAAUGGAAAACUACUAGUUCUGGAAUCAGACUGUCUGCCUGCUUUGAUUUCUGAUAUCUUAAAGCUAAGUGUUAUAAAAUGAUACGGUUGUUCACAUGCUCCAGGAUAGGCUUUUGGGCAAAUUACCCUAAAUAAGGUAACUCAAUAGCCAGGUAGGCAGGCUUUAAUGCUAUUACUAUUAGGAAAAUACCAUUAAUAUGAGACAUAUGCGGGCCACUAUUACAUCAGCAGGGCCUCACUCACGCAGUAUGUGGGAGCAGUGCUGUGGAUCGUAGCAGCGGUGCUGGGCCUUCACACACGUAACGUGCCUUAGUCUUGAGGUCAAAAUCUGUUAAUGCAAUUUUGAGUAUAAGAACAAGAAUUUAAAAUCCAUGUGGUUUUAAUGCCAUGUUCUGAGAUGGGGGGGCAGGGGAUGAUUUGUUGCAUUUCUUUAUUUGGGCUGCUCGCACUGAACGUGAACUCCUUUGAAAUGUGUGUGUGUCACAUCAAGACUAACUUGUGAGAUGUGAUGAACAAAAACAAAAUCUCAUUCCAUUUCUUUGCUCAAAAAGUUUGAUUUUGGUUGUGUUUCAAAUUAUAAGGACCAUUAUUGGUAAUCUGCAUUUACUUCUCAUUGAAGCAUUACAUAAUAAACCAAAACCGUGUGUCAGAUGUACCGCUCCCAAAUAAGUGCACUGAGAUAAAGUGAGACCUCUAAGAGGAUGCCUGCCUUUACAACGAGAGUAUUCCCAUUUCAAACAAUUAAUAUAUUUGGGUUUCUUCAUUUCUGCGGUCUCGUAGCACAACUUAUAGCUAAAGCGCUGUGUUGAACAUGCAUAUUUUGGACCGAGCUCUUCUCUGUGUCUAUUUAACAGCUACUCACAGCUGUCUCUGCUUUAAACGUAUUGGGAUAAAAUUUCAUCACAAAGCCUCAUUGCUACAAAAAGAAAGGGAAAAUGGAUGCAGGCGGGCACAGGGUGAGCAUGCAUGGCCAGCACCCCUUGCAGCAAGACCACAGUGGCAGUGGGGGAUGAGUGGGGAGGGGGCAGGGGUGUACCCAACCUGGGCACUGCAGGUAUGGUGGGCUGUGCAUCCCGAGCUGCUGCCAGUUUGGCUGUGCAAAGCACACCUGCUGCCCUCAGAUCUUAGCAUGGAGGACACAAAGCUCCCAUUCAUUUCUCUGAGUGCUAAGACACAGGGAAGCGGUUCAGCGGUGCAGUAAGCACAGAGCAAGCAGCAGUGACAGUGACAGGAAGGUACUGUCCCUCUGGGUGCUGGCCGCCACCUGACUGCCAUCCAGGAGCAGCUCUGCUGGUGCCUGCAGGAGACUGGUUUUAAUGUGGUAUAUCUGCUUAACAGCUUUGCUGAUCAUGUUGCUGCUGCAUGUGCACAUUUUAAAUGUACUUUUAAAUUUACUUUGAGGGCUUCCUUUGACCUCCUGUAGCAGAUGUGGGAACCCUCCAGCCCUGAGCUGCAAACAAGUGUCCAGUGCAGCUCCUGCUGCCUAUGUCCCCCUGCUCCCAUACACAGCUCUGUGCUGCAGGCAGGGCUCCCACAAGCUGUCUGCACAUUGCUAUGUAAACCAGUGUCACCUGCUAUGCCCCCUCAAGGCCAUGAGCCAUGGCAGUGCCACAGCCCUGGGCACUGCUCCUUGUAGCGAGCCCCUCACUCCAGCAAUACUCUGUGAUCUAACAUAUGGAUGCAUUGAUAUGUUUCUCUUUAUGUAGAGACAUGUAAUGUGAUGCACACACACACACACACAUUUUUUUCUUUAUCCAUAUCUCUAUAUAUAGAGAUAUAUACACAAAGAGCACAAUAACACUAUUAGAGCAAAUUACCAGCAACAAAUGCUGUUCUCCAACACGGUCACCACCAUUAGCUCUGCAUUUUCACCAGCAAUGAAAAAGAGCACACAUGCCACACUUGUACAAAUAUGAACCAACAGAGGUGACCACUGUCACUGUCACCACUGCUGAAAUGCACUGCCCACCACUGCACUCACAUCCACUGGCUGGUCUCCAUAAACAUUCAGCAAGAGUCAACGAAUGUCAGUGAUGCCAUAUUUUUUUUAACUCACCUGUUCCUGGAGAUUCUUCUCCCUUGAGCUCUGCACCUGAUGGAGGUGUUAACAUGGUCAGGUACCGCUUUCGCUGCACCCAUGAUCAGCCUUGCUGAGUGCACCUUUGGUGAUUUUAACACAAACAUCUCACUGCAGUCACUGUGGCUGCAGAAUCCUUUUUCUAAAAUUUUAAUCAUGACCCCAGCAAUUAUGAUAUGAACUUAAACUCAUAUAUGGACUUAUAGUCUGAGUGUGCCACCAGCAAGGCAGCCGUGCACAGGCCCUGCAGCAAGCAGCUCCACAUGCUGAUAUGGGCUGGUGUGGCGCCGGCUCUACUACCCACAGGCACAGCUUUACACAAAGAAAGGAGAACAUUUUUAAAAAACAACAUCUCCUUUUCACUUUCUCAGUGAACUCAUGUCUGUUUUAUGGAGCAGCAGGCCUGGAUUUGCAAGGCUUCAUUCUUCU
ensembl:lncRNA